GUUUGGAUUUAGACUACAACAUAGCUGUUAAGUGCUGUAUUGUCAUUCCCUCUGCUCAAAAUAAAGUUGUUUCUUGACUGUAUCUGUCUGCUAUUCCCCUGUAGCAGCCAGGGACACUUGGCCUCAUACAU
ensembl:snoRNA SNORA63 Small nucleolar RNA SNORA63